rnacentral:misc_RNA from 1 species
GAUAAGAACGCAGCGAAAUGCGAUAAGUAAUGUGAAUUGCAGAAUUCAGUGAAUCAUCGAAUCUUUGAACGCACAUUGCGCCCAUUAGUAUUCUAGUGGGCAUGCCUGUUCGAGCGUCAUUAAGUCCACUUAAGCCCUGCUUAGUGUUGGGAGACUGCUCCAGCGGUGCUACCCUGUAGCUACCCUGCAGCUCCUCAAAGACAGCGGCGGAGUUGUGGUAUCCUCUGAGCUUAGUAACUUGUUCUAGCUUUCGAGUACACCACUUCCCCUGCCGUAAAACCCUUAAUUUUUAAUGGUUGACCUCGGAUCAGGUAGGAAUACCCGCUGAACUUAAGCAUAUCAAUAAGCGGAGGA